CAACCUCUGGCGAAAUACGUGAAUGUUG
ncrna:Flavobacterium johnsoniae TW101 L19-Flavobacteria ribosomal protein leader